rnacentral:rRNA from 1 species
ACUCCUACGGGAGGCAGCAGUGGGGAAUAUUGCACAAUGGGCGCAAGCCUGAUGCAGCCAUGCCGCGUGUGUGAAGAAGGCCUUCGGGUUGUAAAGCACUUUCAGUUGUGAGGAAGGUGGUGUCGUUAAUAGCGGCAUCAUUUGACGUUAGCAACAGAAGAAGCACCGGCUAACUCCGUGCCAGCAGCCGCGGUAAUACGGAGGGGUGCGAGCGUUAAUCGGAAUUACUGGGCGUAAAGCGCAUGCAGGUGGUUUGUUAAGUCAGAUGUGAAAGCCCGGGGCUCAACCUCGGAACUGCAUUUGAAACUGGCAGACUAGAGUACUGUAGAGGGGGUAGAAUUUCAGGUGUAGCGGUGAAAUGCGUAGAGAUCUGAAGGAAUACCGGUGGCGAAGGCGGCCCCCUGGACAGAUACUGACACUCAGAUGCGAAAGCGUGGGGAGCAAACAGGAUUAGAUACCCUGGUAGCACAGAG